ensembl:lncRNA novel transcript, antisense to GPC6
AAUGGCAGUGAAUCCUUUGAGACCCAACUCUUCAUUUUUAUAUCAGAAAGGAUAUUCUUAGAUAACUGCCUCCUGAGGGUGAUUCUGGUUUUGCUCACUCCACGGAGAUGGACCUGGCAGAGGCUUCAACAAAAAAGUCAAAACCCCAAGCUCUUGGGAACUGACGUAGAAGGAAGCAGGAAGAAGGAAGAUGAGGCCUGGUGGAGUUUCUUGACUGGAAACAAUUAGCUGCAUUGUUUUUUAUACGGUUUCUCCAGCUGCACCCUCUUUCCUGAGCAUUGAAAAAUACAGAUGAGAAGCAGAGGGAGGUUGUAGUUUCUAUUUGGUCACAGAGAGUAAUCAAGUGGAAGCCAGAUCACCAUUUACAAGAAAGACUGAAUGGGAGAUUUGGACAUGUACGAUUCUAUGAGACUGUGUGAAAUGUGUAUUCACAUAGUACUCUGUUACCAUAGUAACCAGUCACGUCAGGCUUCCUAGGAGUCUAGGGAGGAGCUGUCAACUUUCACAACUAGUUCAUUCACAAACAACCCUUCUUACAAAAUGCUUUGUGAUGGCAGUGACCACGUAGUUAAUCAUCCAAAGCAGGUCACUUUUUACAAUACAAGUAGAUGCUCUUAACAAUUUAGAAGGUACAACAAGUAUCAACCAGAACUGUCCCAAGCAAACUGAUUUACAUUGGAAUUUAUGUCUAAGUAAAGAAGAACCAUCAAGAAACAAUAACUAUUACACUGUGUAACAUUACUACGUACAUUAUAUCCCCACAUGAUCACCAAACCAUUCAGGGCUUUUCUUUCUUCUAUAUUUAUAAAAAUAAAAAGUAACAAAAUUAUGGCUUCAUGAAAAU